rnacentral:rRNA from 1 species
CCCUACGGGGCGCAGCAGGCGCGAAAACUUUACAAUGCGGGAAACCGUGAUAAGGGAACUCCGAGUGCCCGUAAAAUCGGGCUGUCCAUCUGUKUAAAUAACNGGUGAAGAAAGGGCCGGGCAAGACCGGUGCCAGCCGCCGCGGUAAUACCGGCGGCUCGAGUGGUGGCCACUAUUACUGGGCUUAAAGCGUUCGUAGCUGGUCUGUUAAGUCUCUGGGGAAAUCUACUGGCUUAACCAAUAGGCGUCUCAGGGAUACUGGCAGACUAGGGACCGGGAGAGGUGAGAGGUACUCCAGGGGUAGGAGUGAAAUCCUGUAAUCC